GACAGGGUCUUGCUCUGUUGCCCAGGCAGAAGCACAGUGAUGUGAUCAUGGCUCACUGCAGCCUCAACCUCCUGAGCUCAAGUGAUCCUUCCAUCUCAGCCUCCCAAGUAACUGGGACCACAGGCAGAUGCCACCAUGCCCAGUGACUCCGUUCACAUGCUCCCGUCUUGUCAUCAAGCCCUGUUCAUCUCUCACCAUCUCUCACCUGGACCAUUGCCAGUUUCUGAGCUGCCUGCUCUUGAAUACCAGCUUCCUGAAAAUAUCACCAAAACGAUCUGGUCCUCAGACAAAGCAGAGUCUAUUGCUCACUGCAGUAACAGAGAGCUCCGUCUUCAGAGUCUUGGUAACAUUUCGCUGAGAGGACAACCCAAUCACACUGUUUAGGAGAUUUUGGAUUCUGACUAAGGUGCCUGGAGCAAAAAUGUGUCCAGAAUUGGUGGGUUGUUGGUCUCGCUGACCUCAAGAACGGAGCCGUGGACCCUCGCGGGACAAGGGGAGUCAGAGGCAGAAGAGAAGGUGUUGUGAUGACAGAAGCAGAGAUCUGAGUGACUCACUUUGAAGAUGGAGGAAGAGGUCACAGGCCAAGUGAUACAGAUGCCAGGAGAAGCUGAAAACAGGAGGAAAUGGAUUCUUCCCUCAGAGCUUCUGGAAAAGAUCAGUCUUGCUGAUAACUUGACUUUAGCCCACUGAAACUGAUUUUGAACUUUUGACUUCCAGAACUACAGGGUCUCAUUAUUGUUGCCCAGACUCAUCUCAAACUCCUGGCUCAAAUGAUCCUCCCACCUCAGCCUCCUGUAUAGCUGGGAUUACAGGUGCAUGCCACCAUGUCCAGCUUUACUAAAUAAAUGGUCACAUAUCCAUCUCUGAGUCUGUCACUGGGAGAAUGGGAUGCUUUUUUGGACCAGGCCUGACUUACAUACCCAUCUGGGACAAUAGGACUUUCUAUGGGGACAACUUCAUCUGUACAUGGACAGAGACUGAAGAAUGGAGGCUGGAGUGCAGUGGUGCAAUCAUGGCUCACUACAACCCCGACCUCCUGGGCUCAAGCCAUCCUCCUGCCUCAGCCUCUCAAGUAGCUGGGACUACAGGUGCGUGCCACCAUGCCUAGCUAAUUUUUAAAUUUUUUUGUAGAGACAAGGUCUCACCAUCUUGCCCAGGCUGGUCUUGAACUCCUGAGCUCAAGUGUUCCUCCUGCAUCAGCCACCCAAAAUGUUGGAAUUACAGGUGUGAACCACCGUGCCUGGCCUACAAUUUUUGAAUACAUAUUUUGAGGAAAAAUUAAAAUUAGAAACGUAGCAAGAGUUUCUUUACGUACUUCCUUUACUUAUAUCCUAAGUGAUAUUCAAUUUCAAAGUCAUUCUAGUUGUCAAAAGAUAUUUCUUCAGCAAAUACUGCUAUGACAGUUACUCUUGAUUUCUUAGAUCAUUUUUCACUGAAGAGAACAGAAAAGGUAAGGGAGGAUGAAAGCUGUACCUGGACUAUAAGGAAAGUAAAUAUUAUCGAGGGCUGAAUUUAUUGUUCAUUUUCUUUCCUGCUUGAUCAAUGCUCCUUUCCUGGUAUCAUGUUCUCCAAACUUCAGGUGAAUGGAUCAACCUUUUCCCUAUUCUCGGUUUGGAGAAAGUGUUUUCCUGGGUUAUAUUUUUCAUUUAUAAGAUAUCCCCACCUAUUGAAGGUGGGGGAUUGGGAUGAGGCUAUUUUUGCUUCAGAACUCAUUGGCCAUUCCAUUGUUCCUCAAGAGUGGCUCCACCAUGCAAAGUGAGGGCUGGCUGGUUCUGGAGCUGGUUUUUCUCGGGCCCUACCGUGCCCUCUACACCUCACCUGUGUGCCCCGCUGAGAGCCUGCUUAGGCUUCAAGGCCAACUCAGAUGCCCUAACUGGAAAUCUCUUGAUCUUGCCUGGUAUUUAAUUCCACUUCUUUUUGAAAACUAAUUUUCCUUUGCAGAAACACCACUCCCCUACCUCAGUCACUAUGGCUUGGUUGGGGCUGAUUCCCUUCUCUCUCUCCAAGGGUAAACAUACGACCCAGGCCCAACUAAGCCUGCAUAAUCCACCCCUUCAGUUACAGUGGUUGGCUCAUAGACAGGCAACUAAGCCGGUCCAGUGACAUGCAGCCCUGGGUCUUCUGCUGGGAUUAAUGGGAAGGAGGUGACCCUUUCCAGUAGGCUGAAUCCCAGUUUGUGUGAUUUCAAAGACAAUGAGGUAGUACAGAAAUUGUCUCAUCAGCUCGGGGAAGUGAGAAUUUACUAACCCCCUCCUCAGGGAUUGGAGGGGGCACAGAGAAAUGAUGGUGGGAGUUUGUAGUCUGAGAUUGAAACCAGGCUUUGAAUAAUCUGAGUUGUGCUAGUUGAAGUCAUGGAGAAAUAGCAGAAAAGCCUCCGUCUGAACAUUGAGAAACACCUUGAGAAAACAGAGGAGCUCAAAGAGGAACUUGCAGAAGGCACCAGGGGUAUGGUGGGCACAGUUUCCAGGCAGCCUUCAAUCAUCCCUAUCUCCUGAUAGUUACACCCUGUGUCCUACUCUCCUUUUGAGUGUGGCUAGAUCUAGUGACUGACUUCUUUUAAUUUUUUUUUUUUUUUUUGAAUUUUUACUUUUUGGAGAUAGGGUCUUGCUCUGUCACCCAGGCUGGAGUGCAGUGGGGCAAUCAUGGCUCACUGCAGCCUUGACCUCCCAGGCUCAAGAGAUUCUCCUACCUCAGCCUCCUGAGUAGCUGGGACCACAGGCAAGUGCCAUCUCACCUGGCUAAUUUUUAUAUUUUUUGUGGAGACAGGGUCUUGCCAUGUUUCCCAGGCUGGUUUCAAGCUCCUGAGCUCAAGCUAUCCACUUGCCUCAGCCUCCCAAAUUGCUGAGAUUAGAAGAAUGAGCCACUGUGCCUGUGACUUACUUCUAACCCACAGAAUAGAGCAACAGUGAGAGGAUGUCAAUUCUGUGAUAGAUUGCAAAAUAUUGUAAGUUCCUAGCAGUCUUUCUCAUUGGUUUCAAUAAAAAAAAGCUGCUGUGCUGGAGGGACCCAUGAGGCAAAGAACUGAGAGCAGCCUUUAGCUAACAGCCGGCAAGGAAUGAGGUGCUUGGUCCAGCAAUCACAGAGAAACUGAAUCCUGCUGAUGAUCAUGAGGGUGAGCUUGGAAGCAGAUUCUGUCCCAGAUGAACUUUGAUUGUGUCUUGUUAGAAACCCUGGACCAACUCCUUGAUUGCACCUGUGAGAGGCCCUGAAGCGGAGGGCCCAGCUAAGGUGUGUCUGGAUUUCUGACCCACAGAAACUGAGAUCAUAAAUGUGUGGUUUUAAGCCCUACUCCAGCACUUUCACAGUCAUUUACGGCAUCUGCAGAGCAGUGAAAAAUUUGAAUUGCCUGAGAUACAUGCUCCCUGCUGAAGUCGCACAAGCUGGCCAAUCCUGCUAAUCCUUUAAAACUCACCUGGAGGGAAGGCCUCCUUCUGCAAAGCCUCUCUUGAUGCAGAUUAUCAGCUUUCACUCUCUACCAGAUGGCAAGGAUAUUGCUGUUGGCUCAUAGGAUGUGAACAGUGGUGUUGAGAUUACCCUCAUUUGGCUGAUGAUGUCAUUGAGGCCCAGAGAAGGUAGGACACCUGGCAGGGCCUGGCUUUGGGGCUAACUUCUGCAGCUCUUUUGAUUGCCCCCACCUUACAGUUUUUGGCACAGAGCACUGUGUAGCUGGCACUUCUCUACUGGCCCGAAUGAGAAAACUUCCUCAGAGCAAAAUGUCAAGCACCAAAUAAGAUUCAUGUUUACUGUGAAGUGAUUGCUGCUUUUUAAAUGCUUAUCAGAAGCCGAAGGACAAACUCAGUAGGUUGAUUCAUGCUGAGCUCGACUACCUCCGUGAGAAAUGACUCUCCUGUAGGGCUCGAUGACCUUCAUGUCAAUGCGCUGCUCUUGUUCUCCAAUGACC
rnacentral:lncRNA from 10 species